ensembl:lincRNA
AUGAGUCAGGUAAUGCACACAAAGCAGAAUCCCAGGAAACUCAUCUCACACAUGAAGAUUCAGGCCUUGAAUCCACUCAGAGUCCAUGCGAUGCCGUGGGAAUCAAGCCAGGAACAAUCUCUACAAGGUGACUAUUUUAAAUGCAAUGAAGAAGCUAAGACCUUUCUUAAAGACAUUGCUCUUGCUGUUAAAAAAUUGGAAGAAGUGAGAAAAACCACAAUCGAUUGUCUGGAAAUAGAAACGAUGGAACUCAGCAGAUUCUACUUCCUGCUGCAGACUCUGCCUGACAGGAUGAACAGGGAACUAGAAGAGAGUAUCAGAGAUGCUCGCAGGUUAAAUAUCUGUGAGAUAAACCAGAUGCAAACAAGAAUUAACAUGAGGGAUGAUGAAAUAACGUCUCUAAAGAAGACAAUAACCACCCUGAAAGAAGUGAAUGAAACUCUCGGUAUAAAGCAAGAAGAGUUGGCCCAGCGGCACGCAAAGUUCGUCCUGUCACUCAACCAAACGAUGGAAGAAAAAGCCAAGACCAUCAUUUACAUAAAUGAGACCUGUACCAGAAUAAACGCAGAGAGAGAAGAGACAGAGGUACAAAGAAAAUGUGUGCAAAAAGCGGAGGAGCUAAUGGCCAAAUACAUUGCGGAAUAUUUGGUAAAAAAACAGCAACUAAUCACUCAGAUUGAUGAACUUAAAAAAAUCUAUGAACUUACAAAAAAGGACACUUUUAAAAAGAAGGAAGAAUUGGAAAAAUUAAAAAGUAGAAUGUCAAAAAUGAAACAAACAGUUACCAUCAGCACAGUGGUUCUUAGUGAUCACAAUUUAGAGAUAGCACAACUACAAUCAUCAAUAAGGGAGUGGGAAGAAAAGGUGGAAGAAAUAACAGAAGCUUGUAAGAUUCUAGAAAAUAAAAUGAAUUUUUUUAUAACUCACAAGGAAAAACUGGAUGAUUCAUCACAAUAUGAAAAAAAUGAACACUUGCGUAAAAUAAAACAGCUGGCUGAAAAGCUGCACAAAGCUCAGUUAGAGAACAAAGAGCUACACGAGAAAUUGAACACUAUUCUACAACAGUAUAGGAUUGUGCUAACUGAGGAAGAUCAAGUUUUUUUGCAGAAACGGAAGAUCUAUGAUGAAAACCAGAGACAACUGGAGUUUAUUACACAAAAAGAAAACUUCCUAGCGCAAAGACAAAUAGACAUCAAAAAUAUGGAAGAAGGACUCAUUACACUUAAUGAUCUUCAAAAAGCAACAAAAGAUGUGUUUCAAAAACAAGUAAAAAUUCAGAGUGAUAACCUGGAAAGAGAAAAUCAGAGAUGCUCGUGAUGUGUUUUAGCUUGAUUUUUUGGCAUUGGACAAAGCCAAAGGUUUCCAUUGCAAUAGAACAGUCACCAGAGGCUAUAACUGCCCGUGUUCGUGCAGUGUCUGAGGCUCACCCAGGCUUCUGUGGAGACUGUGGGUGAGUGAGUCGGGUGACAGGGUGGAGACAAAACAGAAUGGUUAGCACCACAGUCUUUGCACAUGGGCUACGCUGGUUGCUCUGUCUGACAAGUUUGGUGACUGACGCUCAAUAACUACUUUUUCUUUGGUCCCACCCCUCUAAAGUAGGGAACAGUAAUAGCAGCCACCUUGCAAAGCUGUUGUCAACAUCAGAGAGAUGAUCUGUGUGAAGUCUGCAGAUAACGUACAC